rnacentral:rRNA from 1 species
UGGAAUACAACAAGGGCAAACCAUGACAAGUCGAACGGUAACAGGAAGCAGCUUGCUGCUUCGCUGACGAGUGGCGGACGGGUGAGUAAUGUCUGGGAAACUGCCUGAUGGAGGGGGAUAACUACUGGAAACGGUAGCUAAUACCGCAUAACGUCGCAGACCAAAGAGGGGGACCUUCGGGCCUCUUGCCAUCGGAUGUGCCCAGAUGGGAUUAGCUAGUAGGUGGGGUAACGGCUCACCUAGGCGACGAUCCCUAGCUGGUCUGAGAGGAUGACCAGCCACACUGGAACUGAGACACGGUCCACACUCCUACGGGAGGCAGCAGUGGGGAAUAUUGCACAAUGGGCGCAAGCCUGAUGCAGCCAUGCCGCGUGUAUGAAGAAGGCCUUCGGGUUGUAAAGUACUUUCAGCGGGGAGGAAGGCGAUGAGGUUAAUAACCUUGUCGAUUGACGUUACCCGCAAAAGAAGCACCGGCUAACUCCGUGCCAGCAGCCGCGGUAAUACGGAGGGUGCAAGCGUUAAUCGGAAUUACUGGGCGUAAAGCGCACGCAGGCGGUCUGUCAAGUCGGAUGUGAAAUCCCCGGGCUCAACCUGGGAACUGCAUUCGAAACUGGCAGGCUAGAGUCUUGUAGAGGGGGGUAGAAUUCCGGUGUAGCGGUGAAAUGCGUAGAGAUCUGGAGGAAUACCGGUGGCGAAGGCGGCCCCCUGGACAAAGACUGACGCUCAUGUGCGAAAGCGUGGGGGAGCAAACAGAGAUUAGAUACCCUGGUAGUCCACGCCGUACACGAUGUCCACUUGGAGGUUGUGCCCUUGAGGCGUGGCUUCCAGAGCUAACGCGUUAAGUCGACCCGCCUGGGGAGUACGGCCGCAGGGUUAAAACUCAUAUGAUUUGACGGGGCGCCCGCACAAGCGGUGGAGCAUGUGGUUUUAACUCUAUGCCACCGCGAAGAACCUUACCUACUCUUGACAUCCAGAGAACUUUCCAGAGAUGCUUUUGGUGCCUUCGGGCACUCAUGAGACAGGUGCUGCAUGGCUGUCGUCACUCGUGUUGUGAAAUGUUGGGUUUAAGUCCCGGCAACGAGCAGCACCCUUCAUUCUUUGUGCAGCGGGUCCGGCCGGUACUCAGAGGACACCUGCCAGUGAAUAAACCUGGAGGAAAGGUUGAAGGGAUGACCGUCAGGUUCAUCAUCGUCUCUUACCAGUUGGUCUACACGUUCUACAAUGACCAACAGAGAUAGCGAUACUUCUAGCAAGG